rnacentral:rRNA from 1 species
CCCACAGGCCGUAAACCCAAGGUUUCCAGGGGAAGGUUCGUCCGCCCUGGGUUAGUCGGGACCUAAGCUGAGGCCGAAAGGCGUAGGGGAUGGACAACAGGUUGAUAUUCCUGUACUACCGAUAACCAUUUGAGAGAAGGGAUGACACAGUAGGAUAAGCUAAGCACACUGUUGGUUAUGUGUGCCCAAGCAUUGAGGCAGUCAAAGUAGGCAAA